rnacentral:rRNA from 1 species
UAGCGUAUAUUAAAGUUGUUGCGGUUAAAAAGCUCGUAGUUGGAUUUCUGUUGAAGACCGGCGGUCCACCUUUUGGGUGAGUAUCUGCUUGGGCUUCGGCAUCUUCUCGGAAUACGUUGCUGCGCUUGAUUGCGUGGUUCGGAGUCCGGGACUUUUACUUUGAGGAAAUUAGAGUGUUCACGGCAGGCAUACGCCUUGAAUAUAUUAGCAUGGAAUAAUAAUAUAGGAUCUUGGUUCUAUUUUGUUGGUUUCUAGAGCUAAGAUAAUGAUUAAUAGGGACAAUUGGGGGCAUUCGUAUUAACGCGUC